AUUGAACGCUGGCGGCAUGCCUUACACAUGCAAGUCGAACGGCAGCAUGACGUGUAGCAAUACACGUUGAUGGCGAGUGGCGAACGGGUGAGUAAUAUAUCGGAACAUGUCCUGUAGCGGGGGAUAACCUAUCGAAAGAUGGACUAAUACCGCAUACGCUCUAUGGAGGAAAGCGGGGGUCGCAAGACCUCGCACUAUAGGAGUGGCCGANAUCGGAUUAGCUAGUUGGCGGGGUAAAAGCCCACCAAGGCGACGAUCCGUAGCUGGUCUGAGAGGAUGAUCAGCCACACUGGAACUGAGACACGGUCCAGACUCCUACGGGAGGCAGCAGUGGGGAAUUUUGGACAAUGGGCGCAAGCCUGAUCCAGCCAUGCCGCGUGAGUG
rnacentral:rRNA from 1 species